GGGGGGGGCAAGCGUUGUUCGGGAUUACUGGGCGUAAAGGGCUCGUAGGCGGCCAACUAAGUCAGACGUGAAAUCCCUCGGCUUAACCGGGGAACUGCGUCUGAUACUGGAUGGCUUGAGUUCGGGAGAGGGAUGCGGAAUUCCAGGUGUAGCGGUGAAAUGCGUAGAUAUCUGGAGGAACACCGGUGGCGAAGGCGGCAUCCUGGACCGAUACUGACGCUGAGGAGCGAAAGCCAGGGGAGCAAACGGG
rnacentral:rRNA from 1 species